UUAAAGAACAUCGGUAUCUGGGAUUUGUCCGUGUGUAUGCAUCCUGUGCGCCGUCACAGACUCGUUGCAGCUUUUCUAUUUUGUUCACAGUUCCAUAUAAGUAAUCAACAUCUGCUAUUGUCUAAUCACUCCAUGGCAGGUCAUGAAACAUACUGCUCACAAUUGUAUCAUUCAUAACAUAUACCCAAUGUGUUGCAGGUUGAACAGUUUUGAUUGUAACUUCUUUUUUUAAAUUGAAUGUUUUUCCUGUGAAUUAUUUUUCUGCAGAUUUGGUUUUUCAGUAUUCACCCCUCUUUCUACACAGAGUUCUAAAUGGUCAACCCCUUACCGACAUAUGUUAAGAACCUAACUAAUUAAUCAUUUUUUUCUUUAAGUUUUGUAUUAAUCAAUUUUUGCAAAUAAUCUUAUAAAAAUUAUGUCAGGGUAAUACUGGUUGUGAGACAGACACUGCCACACACAUAAUAUUUCAAUAAUAGUCUUGUUUUGGUUACAAAUUUUAAAUAAUGCUGGAACAACCCCAAAUUCAUUAUCAAAAACAGAAUUAUGUGAUGUAACAUUUUUGAGGAAUUUUUAACCAAACUAAUCUUAUCCCGUCAUUCCUUAGCUGAAUACAUGUGUUUUUAUGAAAAAAUCUAUUUAUACAUGUUUUGUCAACAGAUUAUAGUAGUAAUGAAA
rnacentral:sRNA from 1 species